rnacentral:lncRNA from 1 species
CGGACUGAAUGGUGUAAAGUUCGUCUUGUUGUAUUGCCUCAGGAUCUAUCCACUCCUAUGAGAUGUUACUAACUUUUUCUUCUUGUUAUUAGCUAUUUGUUGGUAGAGAUUGUGGUGUUGUUUAUUGAGUUAAAGUGUGUUGAUUGUAUUGACGACCUUAACACCUUAUUGAUUGGUUAUGCCUUAUUUUUUCAACCUUAUUG